UAUAAGUACAAACGACUCGAUCGUGAAACCGCGAACGGCUCAUUAUAACAGCUAUAAUUUACUUGAUCUUGACGAAUCCUACUUGGAUAACUGUGGUAAUUCUAGAGCUAAUACAUGCACCAAAGCUCCGACCUCGCCGGGAGGAGCGCAUUUAUUAGAACAAAACCAAGCGGGCGCCUCACCGCGCUCGUUGCUUGUUGACUCAGAAUAACUAAGCUGAUCGCAUGGUCUUGCACCGGCGACGUGUCUUUCAAGUAUCUGCCUUAUCAACUUUCGAUGGUAGUGUAUCUGACUACCAUGGUUGUGACGGGUAACGGAGGAUAAGGGUUCGACUCCGGAGAAGGGGCCUGAGAAAUGGCCACUACG
rnacentral:rRNA from 1 species